rnacentral:misc_RNA from 1 species
AAGGUAACAGUUUCUUGUACAGAUUGGAAAGUCCUGUAGACGAGCUAACAGUGGUGGUGUUUGCUUGAGCGGUUGCUGGCAGAUACACAGAUCCUCACGAAGAUACGACACGACACGCGCAGGAGCACGGGGCUGCGCCGACGAUCAGUUUCCCUCGCACAGCGUUGGCGUUCACCCGUGUCCCCCUCCCCCUCCCCUCUUCCCCUCCUCCUCUGCGUUGUCCCUCACUGUCACUGUAGACGCGCGCACACGCACGCGCAAAAACGUUGUCCUGUCUCUCGGCUUUUUUUCCGCUGUUUCCGCUUAGACUCACUCGCACCCUUUUGUAUCUCUCUCUCUCUACGCUUAGUUGGGGGGCGGGGGCGGCAGGGACGUUGCGGCACGUGGCCAACCCUCCUCUGAGUGUGUGUCGUGGCAGCCGCCGACGGUCGUCCUUUGUGGCUUCCCCUUUUUGUGCUGCGUUUUCGCUUCUCGUACACCCUAGACCCUACAUCAUCAUUCAUUCUUUACCACCGCUCUCUCGCUGUCGCUCUUGUUUUUAGCGUGCACCAUUUUGAUUGCCCCUUACGUGCUUCCUCUGUUGUGUUUGUCAACACCCCUGCCCUCUCUCCCUCUUGCCCACGCGCGACUUACUUCAUCACUGUCGUUUGUGCCAUCUCCUUAUCUUCUGCUCGUGCCUUUCACGUGUCCUCCGUGUCCAGUUUCGCGAGCUGUCGGCCUGUCCCUUGUGACACGGACGAGACUGAGAUGCAGAGAGAGAGCGCGCGGUGGCAAGAAUCGAUCAAGGUCACUGCUCUGGGCGUGAAGAACAUCUACCGCCUUUCGCGCCUCUGGCCCCAGGUGUGUGUGUGUGUGUGUGUGUGUGUGUGGCAGGUUCGCCGCAAGUCGCUACUCGAACCCUCUCCUCUCCUCUCGUUUAGUCGGUGCGCGUUAAACCUCUCGGCUCGACGGCACCCAUCACCAUCUUCCCUUCACCGUGUGCGGGGAACGAAUACCCCGCUCCAUCUCCAUCUAUCGAAAGAGGGACAAAGGGGGGUCGAGGAGGGGGAAGCCACCACAUCCGUUGCGCACCUGCUAGACUUCACUCACGCACCGCGCGACACAGACAGAGAGCCACGGUGCGUGUUCGAGCAUCUGCUCAUCAGCGGUCUGCACAGAGGCACAUCGGGUGUCGUCUCUCUUUCACCUUGUUUUAGAGGCUCUUUGCGUUUGUUUAGGAGGAGGGAGGGGGGCUCUUCUCGUUCUGCCGGCCGCACCGGCCAUCUUCCUCGUCACCACGACGUGCACGUCCACAUCCGUGCGGUUUUCUGUCGCUAUUUCUCUCUCUUGACCUGCAGCGCUGGUUGUGCCGGUCUGCACUCCUGUCCUCCUUCAAUUCGUGCGCGCCUGAUCGCCCCCACCUCACCCUAACGUGCGUCUGCUUGCCCGCUGUGCUUCUCGUCUCCCUUGAUGAAUCCGCUAGACUAUCUACCUCCCGAUGUCUUCACGCACACCUGGGGAGCGCCAACACGCGCCGUGCAGACACUGGGGUCGCAUGUGUGCGUGGUGGCUCCUCGUUAUGAACGCAUGGCAGUUGCGAUUAUGGCGAUGGAGGGCAUCGAGCCGGCACCGCCUCCUCAGUUCGAGGUCGUAUGCACCGGUCACACACGCACCUUUCUGCCAACCCCGCGCGCCGGCAGCUGCCCGCUCGACUACACCGCUCUCUUCGUGACGCUGCAUCGCCGGCAGAGUGAAAAGAUUACCUGCCUUCAUGCAUCACGUCCGGUGCCGCUGCUCGCCUCCGGAUCGCCACGAACAAGACGGCUACAUGAGGCUUUCCCUUCAGCUGCCGCUGGUGGCUGGAUGACGGCUCGCACACCACCGUCGUCAGCAGCAGCGUACGCCUCUCAGAACGCGGAACUCGACAUUCUUGGGCGUCGCGUGGAACGCUUCGCGACGUCUGCGGCCCACUCAACGGCUCCUCCCUCAGGCUCCUUGGAGGGCAGGCUCGCUGUGGCGGAGCGUGCCGUCCCUGAAUCGGUGGCGGCCACGCCGGUGUCAACUGCGGCACUGUCGAGCCCUGUAGGGACUUUUCAUCACCAUCACCACCGUCAGCAGCAGCAGCAGCAGCAUCAACCUUUGGGCACCGGUCAACCGUACCAUCACCAUCAGCGACGGCCACGGCCAGAUCCGCAGCGCAUGCAGUACCGCGUCGGCCGCAGUGGCAGCACGCAGCCCCCGCCUCUCCCUGAUUUACACAGUGGAACGCCCUCGAGCACCGGCAGUGCCACCACACCCCUCCCCACACAGCAGACGGAGGAGGUUGCGCCGCAGUCGUUGGCGCGUCUCCUGUCCUCCUUCCCGCCCUCCCCCGCGGCCCUCCCCCUCUCACCCGUCAUCGCUUCAUCAGCGUCCACCUCGAUGCCGCGUGAUAGCACCUCAUUCGUCUCUCUCGCCGUCAGCUCCCUACGCCCUUCUGUUACUCGAGCGAUUUCUACGGCGACGACCGAGGCAACGGCGCUUCCCAGCAACACUGACCGCCACUACAUCCUCAUGCGUCGCGACUCGCCUUUCCUUGCCGGCAGAGAUGACACACCAGGUGAGGCAGCCAUGGAAGACGUGCAGCAGUCACGCUGGCUUCUUUCGCGGCACCCACGUCAACGCGUGAGUAGCGGCAAUGCCGAUGCGGUGGUCGACGAAGUCGGUGCUGGCGCCCACGGCGAGGUGGGCACACGAGAACGACUGCAGCAGCAGCUUCAACGCACUGUGGAGCGGCAGCGCCAGCUCGAGCUGCUCACGUUCGAUUUUAACGGCGGCUUGGGUGACGCAAGAGGGCCACAGCAACGCGCAGCAGAGCACAUGUUUCUCUCCCCGGACGCGUCAGACGCUCAUCGGUCAGCGAGCGAGGGACCACGACGAAGGCGAGCUGCUGCUGCGGCUGCGCCGUACCUGUUCCGCGGAACUGGCGCAGAUGACGACGCGGACGAGAUUCGCGCGGACUCGGUCGUCGUUGCUCGGGGUUUGUCUCUCGCCUGGGCGCAGGCACGCAGCCGUGGGAGCACCUCGCCGUCACCGCAGCAGCACGAUCUCCCACUGUGGUGGCGGAGAGGACAAGCUGCGCGGGGGCGGCGGCCACAACCGGACGCUGCACAGCAGGGCCAAAGUGAUGAUCAUCGGCUGUCGCCGUCUCCAGCAGCAGCCGUUGGAGAAGAUGCGCAUCCUCGCCACACAGAAUCCGCACCGCAGCGCACUUCGGCUGCGUCGUCCUCCGCGCCGGCAUCCUCUGUCGUUGUGUCGCGAUCUGCAGCACCACGCGCGACGUCGACCAGCACAUGCGCGGCGCAGAUGCUGCUGUCGCCGUCCGUACGCGUCGAUCGCCGUGAGCGCAGCGCCUCGCUGCAUGUUCCCCUUUCCUUCGCCACCGCUGGCGUUGUCGACAUCGACGACACAAUAGUGACAUCGUCUUGUGCGGUGUUGCCGUCACCGAUCCCGGCGGAUCACUUGCGUCGCCCUUCACUGCCCACCGCCGCACUCACAGACGUCGUCCCAUCAAGCCGGGUGCCCAGCGAAGAGGUGUACCGUGCAGAGGGAGCGCUGUGUCUGGGCGACAGCAGUCGAAGAGUCUCCGCGUUUGCGCAUCCCCGAAACAGCGUGAGCUGCUGCAACAGUCCCGCAGUCGAUGCGAUGCACGCAGAUGCAGUGACGGCCGCAGCGAUGGCAAGCACGGUUGGCCAUCGUGUGUGGAAGCUGGGGUCCCGCUGCAGCCCCUGCCCUUCAGCGGGCGCAACCGGGCGGACGGCGGCCUCGGAGCUUAGUAGUCGCGAUGAUUUCCACUUCGAGCGAAGCACAUCAAAACCGCACCAGGACGGCGUGUUCGAGGAGGACGCUGGCGCGGUCGAUGAGGAGACGCCGUUUGUGCGGCGCACCAGCCCUGGCACGAGUGACGGUACCGGCAAAGAGAGCUGCAGUCAGCGCAGCAGUGGCAGCCCAGGCGCGGCGGAGCCACAGGGCGAGAUUUUAAAGCCGUCGGCUUCAGCGGGCGGCCGUGGCGACGAUUGCGUGCGCGGCCGUUGCAGCCGUCGUGACCCUCAACUGCCGCCCUUGUCUCGCGCCGCGUCCUUGUCCUCGUCCUCGUCUUCGUCACCUGCUCCGUGGCACGUUCGCACCGACACGAAGGCCGGCGGCAUCGACGUGGACGCAGCAGUCGAGGAAGCCGACGAAGCCGGCGGCUCCGCGAACGCUCCGGCGCUGGCCGCCACGACGUCGCCGAUGGUCUACCUCUCCGAUAUGCUCCGUCUCUCCUUCUCGCCGGAUAACGGGGCCGACGACUCAAGAACAGUCUGCGCAGAGAUUGACGAGGCCUGCGGCGAGCCCGACGUCCGCGCCGUCAGGCUUGCGGCGCAGAAGGCGCAGCGCGCGGGCACGGCGCGUGUAGGUGGUGCCCACGGCCGCUACACGUGCCGCCCCGACAACCGUCGGCGUCACUCACGGACCGUUCUCGCUGACGAUGGCGACGACAGCUCGCUGUGCAGAAGUGCCGCGUCGACAUCCUCCAGCCCGCCCUCGCAAAGCCGGACUGCCAUUCGACGUUUGAUGGACAUGGAAGACGAGGUGGUAUCCGACGGCAACCUGUCGGCGUCGCCACUUUCGCCACUCGACGUGACGCGUGGCAAGUGCGGGACCGCCGCCAGCAUGACCACAACGGGGCCCUCCACCUGCACACCGCACCGAGUCGCCGGCCGCCUCGCACUAUCCGCAGACGAGCGGCGCCUACACGCCUCAGCGGCGAGCACCGCUGCGUGGGGUAGAGCCAACGUGGGUGAGCACAGCCACCGUGGUGCAGCAGCAACGGUCGUCACCGCCACUCCGGAGGAGUCCUCCGCGCGGUCCUCUAUACUCUCCAUCUUCUCCACUCCGGCGCAGACACGCUUGCAGUCGCUGUUGCAGGCGUCCACUUGGUCCACGGCGACGCCGUGCUCGCACGAGCAAGGGAACAGCAGCCACAGCAGCCGGAGGAGCUUUCAUCGCCACCCACAGGUCGCCCCCGCAACGUCGACUGGGGGACGAACGAGUCCCCGCGCGACCAGAGACGACAGCGAAGACGUCGAAAACGAGAUCAAGAUUGGGACCGCAGACCGAAACCCAUACGGCCGCUUGCCCACGGCAGCGGCCACUGCGUCGGCGCGGUCCAUGAUGCCGUGCGACCAGGCCAAGAGGAAGUGCGGCAACGGCGGCCUCCGCCACAGUCCUGGUAAAGGUCACGAGCCGCAGCAUCUUGUCCGCCAAGGGGAGCAAGGCGGCGAUGAUGUACACGUGCGCGGCAGUAGCAACAGCAGUAGCAGCAUGACACCAACGCGUCUAUCUGGUGUCUAUGCGUCCCCUCCAGCUGCGCGGGCAUCUGCCACCGUGAUCGUGACCCCGUCAAGGACGGCUGUCGCAGAAGCCGCCCCGGCUGCGGCCUCAACCUUGCAUCUGUCCCCCUUUCGCGGCUCCGGCUCCUUCCUGCAGGUCUAUCACGGCUGGAGGGGCAGCACCUCGACAGCCGCGCCAAGCGGUGCGAACUGGCUGUCGCUCUCUCAGGAGGCGGACAUCCAGCUCUUGGCUCGCAGGACACGCCUUACGCACGCGCGAGGCGGCUCGACGACGGGGGCGAUGACACCCAAGGUAUGCGAUCUGGCGCGUUCUCCCCAGCAGCCCCAGCCCUCGCCACUCUCAUCCCCUUCGCGGCGCUCCACCGGCUCGCUCAGCUUUUUCCUGGCGGCAGCGGCGGCCUCUCCGGGGAGUGGAGGCGGCACCCGUACGAGCGGCGGUGGCGGUUUUACCGAAGACGACGAGGGACGAGGUGUGCGCGCGGCAGGCAGCACGGUCUACGGCAGCGCGGUGGCACGGCGACGCUCGUGGGCACCACGGAAGCAGCAGCAGAAGCACCGACGGCGGCAACAGUCACACUCGUCCAUGGGCAUGCACUCCCCAUCCGUCAGCGUCCGCGGCAUAAGUCGCACCGACAGCAGUGGCAGUCGCUUCAGCGAGGCCUUCGGAGUAGCGCCGCAGCGGCUAACGUUCGGGAGUGCCAUCGCCUCCGUCUCCGUCGCCAACAGCAACACCGACAGUGUCGAGCGUUGGCCAACGGCGUAUUCUACCCCGGCGGCGCUUGCCCUCUCCCACCCACGUCAGCAGCGACAGCACCGCGCGCCUCCGCCGCCCUAUGCGUUCUCGCCUGGCGAUGCGCGCCGUCGCGGUGACGGUGUCGAGGAAGCAGCGGAAAGCAGUCGUCACUCGCUGCUGCUAUCGUCGGAGCAGCGCACCGCCUCGCCGCGACAGUCGUGGGCGUUGUCGACGUCGUCGCCCCUGUCGCUCUCACCCUUUGCACCUCGUACGCCGAGCGGGCGGCUAUCGCUGCCGUCCACCGAGCUCAACCAGGCCCCACUGCGACACGGCGAGACGCGAGAUGGGUUCAGCGCCCGGUCUCCCCCCUCCACCUCGAUCGCCAGCGCCGCUGAGCAGCGGACGCAGCACGUGCGUGGAUCCUCUUGUCGGAGCCGCAGCCUUGGCAGCGGCCGCAUCAGAGGCAGCCUUCGCGACAUUGGCGGCCGCCACCGUGCGAAUCGCGCCUUGUCAUUCUCCACACUGCGCUCAUCACCUUCCGCCCUUGCGACGCCCACCGUGUGGGCAGGGCUGGAGUACGCGCUGGGCGCUGCCACGCCAUUGGGCGGACGCAUGGAUGCUCCCUCUCCGUCUCCUCUCAACAGCGGCCGUCAGCGUCGCACGAGCAGUGACAGCAGCAUGACGAGGAGCAUGGAAAGCUUUCACAUCGCCAGCAGCGGCCGCUCUCGCGCUUCAGCGUCGCUCAUGCUACAGCUCCAGCCGGUCCAGCCCCGGACCUUUUCCACGGCGCCGCAGCCGACUCUCGCCGACGAGCUGCGCUUGUUUGCUAGUCCCGUCCUCACUACCGCCCCCAUCGAGCCGCUAGUGUCCUCCCCCUCCUCUGCCACGGCCCCACUGCCCCUAGCCACGUUCAUCGCCUCGCCGCCGCGAAGGACGGGGCCGCCUACCUCUACCAUCGCGCCGCCUUCCAUGUCUUCUCUUGUGCACUCACCUCGUCAACGGCCAUCUCUCCCACCGGAGCUGCUGGCAUUGAUGCAGAUGCGCACUUCGGCAUCGGCGGCAGCGGCAGAGACGCACCGCGAUCCAGGUGACGCACCGUCAUCGACGUCAGCACAAACGGCAGAGAUCGGAGCAGUCGCCCCGCCGUGCGCCUUCGCCUCUUCCGGCAAGCCAGUGCAGCGGCGAGGCUGCAGCGAGCGACGCGACGUCAACGUAGAGCCUGGGCAGGGAAGCCCCUCCUCCUCCCACCGGACUGGAGCCUCUCCCACCGCAGUGAGAAGGGGGUGGGGUGAGCAAGGAGAAGGGUUCGCUGUCGGCGGCAGUGGUGAGGUGCAUCCCGGUGCGACUGUGUGACUGCGAAAGAGUGUCCGUGCGCGCUUUUUUGUGAUCGUUGUCCACGCUGCCCAUGGUUGGCAUCGCAGUGUUACCCGUCACAGCCCCCCCUCCUCUAUCAUCAUCGCGCACUGCAUGUCUAUUCAAGGUUCUCUGUUCUGCUAUGUGGUGGUGGUGGCUCUGUAUUUGCUUGCAGGCUUCUGUCCUUUUUUUUUGUAUGGUUGUGUGUGUGUGUGUGUGUGUGUGUGUGUGCGGGUGUAUGAGAGCUCGAUCUUCCACGCACCCUCUGUCGGGUGCGUGCGUGCAUGUUUUGUAUAGACGUGUACCGACCUGUGAUUGCCGCUGUCUACUAUGCCUAGAUGUACGUAUCUUGUAUGCCUUGUUAAACUCCCUGCGUGUCUGUCGAGGUCUGCGUGUGUGUGUUUGCGUGUGCGUGCUUGUGCGUGUGAACCUGUGGGCCCAUCCCCCGCCUCUGUCGCCCCCUAUGGCUUCAGGUUCUCGUCUCGCUGCACUGCCGCACACGUCGACGCCCGCACAGGUACACGCGCGCAUGCGCCUCCCCCCCCCCUCCUCACCCCCUCCCCCCAACUCUUCCACCACCUUAAAAGGGGCUUGGCAUUCAAGCCAACCCGUCG